UACGAAGGGGGCUAGCGUUGCUCGGAAUCACUGGGCGUAAAGCGCACGUAGGCGGAUGUGUCAGUCAGGGGUGAAAUCCCGGGGCUCAACCUCGGAACUGCCUUUGAUACAGCACGUCUCGAGUCCGGAAGAGGUGGGUGGAAUUCCUAGUGUAGAGGUGAAAUUCGUAGAUAUUAGGAAGAACACCAGUGGCGAAGGCGGCUCACUGGCCCGGUACUGACGCUGAGGCGCGAAAGCGUGGGGAGCAAACAGG
rnacentral:rRNA from 1 species